UGAGGAAUAUUGGACAAUGGAUGGAAAUCUGAUCCAGCCAUGCCGCGUGCAGGAAGACGGUCCUAUGGAUUGUAAACUGCUUUAGCAUGGGAGCAAUAAGGUGUACGCGUACACCGAUGAGAGUACCAUGAGAAUAAGCACCGGCUAACUCCGUGCCAGCAGCCGCGGUAAUACGUAGGGAGCGAGCGUUAUCCGGAUUUACUGGGUGUAAAGGGCGAGUAGGCGGGCUGGUAAGUUGGAAGUGAAAUGUCGGGGCUUAACCCCGGAACUGCUUUCAAAACUGCUGGUCUUGAGUGAUGGAGAGGCAGGCGGAAUUCCUAGUGUAGCGGUGAAAUGCGUAGAUAUUAGGAGGAACACCAGUGGCGAAGGCGGCCUGCUGGACAUUAACUGACGCUGAGGAGCGAAAGCGUGGGGAGC
rnacentral:rRNA from 1 species